GCGCCACCAGCCUUCAGCCCUAGAGCCAGCGGAAGAGCGAGGAACGCAGCAGGCGCCGGAGGGAGAAAGGAACAUCGGCAACCGCAGCGCCACACGCCGACCGAAAGACGACGACCGGCGCCAAAACACGCGCGCGGCGCACUGGAGGAGCACGGUGUACGAGCGAGGUUUCCCCACCACGCACGGGCGGCGGGCCACUCCGGGCGCGGAGAGGCGGCGUGCGCUAUGCGAGUGACGUGCAGCAGCAGCAUCAGCAGCAGCGCGGGCCGCAACCUCGGCCGCCGUCGGAACACGGAGUCCAAGCACAGAUGGAGAGAGCGGCAACGAAGCAAGGAGGAACAACAUCGCGGAAUGCCAGUAAGAUGCGCAUCCCCGAGACAAGGAUGACAAUAGGACAUCGCUGGCUGCUGAAAAGCCGCGACCAAGGAUAAAGCACGCAGUGAAGACGUCACAAACGGCCUGGAAGUCAGGCCGCGAGUUCGAGUCGAGGUGCUUUGGAGAGUGACGUCACCUGAAGAGACAGCGUCGCAAGCCUCACACGCAGUUCUACUGCCGCCCUAAUUCGUCAAUACCUGAAAUCGAUGCGUGUGCCUGAAUAGACAAGGAAGAUCCGUCGCUAUAACCAGUGAACGGAGUAUCCAAGGGAGCAUCGGUGCAGCUGAGCACUAUAUAUGGUGUAGCGGAAACCGCCAUCAACACCCACUAGAGACACCAAGCUUUUCACGUCCUGGGACAUGAGCGGGAGACAGCCAAAAGGAUAAUCCUCGAAAGUGCUUUCCGAUGUUCGCGUGUACCGAGACUUUCGGAGAAGAUCACUGUGAUUGGCCACCUGUCACGUGACUGGCCACACCAAACCCACACCAAACAGUCACGAUGGUGGCACAAAGUUUACGUGUCCCGAGUCGCAAGAAAAUCACUGCACCACCAGGACGUUCACGAAGCAGACGCAAGCCACAGCAAAUGCUCUCACUUGACAUCGCUGUCCACUCCUUGUAAAGGAGCUCUCCUAGCUACGCGGCCCAUUGUACUAACGCUCCGCGGACAUCAAUCGAUAAGGUCAAAGAAAUACAACAAUGUUGUCCUCGUACGUGCACGUGACGUUUCAAGAGAAAGACCUCGCAGAUCGCCGCAGCACCGUUUUCAACAAGGUCAUCCUAAAUCACAACGGUCAACCCUAUCGGCCGAUACGUCUGAGGUCUGACUUCAAGGAAGCGCAGUUGUCAGCAAGAGAUCGAAAGACAGCAACAAAACAAAGAUGGCGGUUCUCACAGCACUUCAGUCUUCAGAAAGGCUUCCAUCCACGACUGCCGGGUCUACGAAGGGUCGCGUACUGACGGGUUGACAGAAGGCACGUGGAAUCACACAGCCCAACCCCGCCACGAAAUUUUGCGUCCGGGGCACAACUUCGCAGCUGCCGCCGACAUCACGCCAGCACGUUACGCACCGGUGACGUCACACUGUUCGUAAGAGACUCCGGCUGCGCGUCCAGAAAGCCGUAUUCUCGCAAUAACAGUUCCACGGGUGCAUAAUCAGCGAAGAAAGGCCGACGUUUCAGAUGGCUUCGUCCCUGGUGGCGGUGGCCCACAACAUUCGAGAAGGCAGAACCUAUGGACACCUUGCACGCGACGUCAUGGGCGCAAUUUCUGAAAGUACUGGCACACCACGAUGGCGGCUUUGAUGACAAACAAUUUGCGAUUAGCCCCUUUCAAUGUGAUAACGGCGUGGCAGGAACGCUCCUGCGCGAGGAGGCAUCGCACUCGACGACUCGCUGCCGUCAAAACAACGCCUACAAAGUGUUCGUGAACCGUCGUCGGGCACUCGGCGGCGGGCCAAACGGGCGUGUGACGUCAAGCGAGUGACGUCAAAGAUACGAGACACCAGACGGCGCGAAAGCAGACGACCCGACGCCCACGGAAGCAGACGACGUAGAAGUGACCGAUGCAGAAGAAACGCGGUAAAAAAUAAGAAAGAAAAACGUGGGGCGAAGCCUUUAAAGGGACACUACAGUGAGACAAUAAAUCGGUUUAUUCUGAUAAAUUAUUAGAGGUUUCCAGCUUGUCCGGUAUUCCAGUAUACGCAAAGGGGCUUACGGAAUACCGGGUUACCGGGCGACGGCACUAACAUCUUGUGACGCUUCGUGCAACCACAAUUAUACACACGUACGUUUGUACGUUUUCGCCUAGAGUCCUCGACAAAAAAAAAAGGGGGGUAAAAAGGCAACUCAUUCCGUAUUAGGCUGCUGCCGAGAGUUCACAACCGCAGAGAAGUAGAAUGCACUAGGUUUAUGCAACAGCAAUUCCGUGUUUGCCUGAUUCAUCUCGGCCCCGCCAAAUGGCACCACCUAUCCGACCUCUCACAUUUACGGCUACGGUAUCCGGUAUAACGAUAAUGCAAACAAGUUUGCUGACAAACUAAAACUCUCUAUUCCCUGACGAAGCUAUCGUCGUUAAUUCUGAUAUCACACGUUUAUUACUAGAACAGAUAAUGAGCGUCAGUGUGACGCCACUGAUAUCAAAGCUUCCUUGUUAUGCUUCUUUUUCUUCGUAUUUUAAAAGACUCAAUAAAAUUCGGCGAACUUAGCCGCGCUUAGUCUUUUGCUCCAUGUGAAUACAAUGCGAUUCAUUUACACCGACAAGGAAUUAUACAGGCCCUAUAGUUUAGGCGCCGUCAAUAUCUGUGACGUCAAGGCGAGCUGGUGCGCGACCCUCACGGAGGCGUCACCACCUGCGCUUUCUUUUCGCGCCAUUUCUCUUAUACCCCUGUGUAAAUAAUUAUAUUUCAGCAACUUUACUUUUUUCGCUUACCAAGUGUCAUCUGGCAACAAUGAGUGCUAUUUUUCGGUAUUGCCGGAGGGUAAUUUACAGAUACAAAGCAAAAUCAUCUUUUUCUUUGGUGUCCUUUUAAGACCCUGCGUUCCCCUUUUCAGUCUUGAACCCGCCUGUAUAGUGUCUAGCGCGGUCACUUUCGAUCGAGCAACCCACUUUCUACAAAUAACGCUCGCGAUGAAAAAUAAAUCACGACUUUAGCUGAAGAGACUGCGGGGUCAGACCUGUAAUAAUGGACAGGGAGGCGUGUCUGUACAUAAAGAGACACUGCCUACGUCUCGCGCUCGGUUGCUGCGUCAUUCUUCUAUUGUUAUUUAUUUAUUUAUUUAUUUAUUUAUUUAUUUAUUUAUUUAUUUAUUUGUUUGUUUGUUUGUUUGUUUGUUUGUUUGUUUG